rnacentral:rRNA from 1 species
GAUGAACGCUGACAGAAUGCUUAACACAUGCAAGUCUUUGGCGAAUCUGUGCUUGCACAGGCUAGCCAAGGCGGACGGGUGAGUAACGCGUAAAGAACUUGCCCUGCAGACAGGGAUAACAGACGGAAACGACUGAUAACACCUGAUACAAUUGCCGGCACGCAUGUGCCUGGCAAUGAAAAGAGAUGCUGCGGGGGAGCUUUGCGUCCUAUUAGCUUGUUGGUGAGGUAACGGCUCACCAAGGCGAUGAUAGGUAGCCGGCCUGAGAGGGUGAACGGCCACAAGGGGACUGAGAUACGGCCCUUACUCCUACGGGAGGCAGCAGUGGGGAAUAUUGGACAAUGGGGGCAACCCUGAUCCAGCAAUUCUGUGUGCACGAAGAAGGUUUUCGGAUUGUAAAGUGCUUUCAGCAGGGAAGAAGAAAGUGACGGUACCUGCAGAAGAAGCGACGGCUAAAUACGUGCCAGCAGCCGCGGUAAUACGUAUGUCGCAAGCGUUAUCCGGAAUUAUUGGGCAUAAAGGGCAUCUAGGCGGCCAGACAAGUCUGGGGUGAAAACUUGCGGCUCAACCGCAAGCCUGCCCUGGAAACUGUUUGGCUAGAGUGCUGGAGAGGUGGACGGAACUGCACGAGUAGAGGUGAAAUUCGUAGAUAUGUGCAGGAAUGCCGAUGAUGAAGAUAGUUCACUGGACGGCAACUGACGCUGAAGUGCGAAAGCUAGGGGAGCGAACAGG